GGCCUGCCCACUGUAAUAAUAUAAAUGGCUGCAGAAUUUUAACUGUACGAAGGUAGCAUAAUCAUUAGUCUUUUAAUUGGAGACUGGUAUGAAAGGUUUAACGGAAUUUUACUGUCUCUAUGAUAAUAAGGUGAAUUUAUUUUCUUUGUGAAAAAACAAGGAUAAUAUAAAGGGACAAGAAGACCCUAUUAAAUUUGAUUGUUAUAUAAUGUUGGUUUUGUUUAUAAAACAUUUUAGUUAUUAUAAUUUGGUUGGGGCGACUAGUUUAGAACAUUAUUUAUGUAUGUAAUAAUAAUUAUUAAAGGUUUAAUUUGAGCCAAUUGGGUUGAUUUUAAGAUAAAAUUACUAUAGGGAUAACAGCGUAAUAUUCUUUAAGAGUUCAUAUUGACAAGAAUGUUUGCGACCUCGAUGUUGAAUCAAGAAGUCUUUUUGGUGCAGUAGUUAAAAGAGAUGGUCUGUUCGACCUUUAAAUUCUUACGUGAUCUGAGUUCAAAACCGGAGA
rnacentral:rRNA from 1 species